rnacentral:rRNA from 1 species
AUUGAACGCUGGCGGCAUGCCUUACACAUGCAAGUCGAACGGCAGCACGGGAGCAAUCCUGGUGGCGAGUGGCGAACGGGUGAGUAAAGUAUCGGAACGUGCCCAGUCGUGGGGGAUAACGUAGCGAAAGUUAUGCUAAUACCGCAUACGAUCUAUGGAUGAAAGCGGGGGAUCGCAAGACCUCGCGCGAUUGGAGCGGCCGAUAUCAGAUUAGGUAGUUGGGGGGGUAAAGGCUCACCAAGCCGACGAUCUGUAGCUGGUCUGAGAGGACGACCAGCCACACUGGGACUGAGACACGGCCCAGACUCCUACGGGAGGCAGCAGUGGGGAAUUUUGGACAAAGGGCGAAAGCCUGAUCCAGCCAUGCCGCGUGCAGGAUGAAGGCCUUCGGGUUGUAAACUGCUUUUGUACGGAACGAAAAGGUUUGGCCUAAUAAGCUGAGCUCAUGACGGUACUGUAAGAAUAAGCACCGGCUAACUACGUGCCAGCCGCCGCCGUAA